UCUUCAUGUGCACAUGUGCAGCAGUUAGCACAGCUCAGAAGGGUAGGACAGGAUGCGCCACUGUGUAAUAUGUAUUAAAGCUGGCUGGAAAGCAAGUGUGACUGCCAGACCCUGGUGCCAUAAUCAUCAGCAUUUCGUAUCCUUGGCUCUUUCCCCCUUGAGUGCAAUUUUGUACAACAGGGAAUGGAAAAACCAGACUAUCUCCUGGUAGUCCAGGCAGGCUGAAACACUGUCAGCUAGAGCUUGUUGUUAAUGACCCUGUCAUGCACAACAUAUAGCCUCACAGGUAAUUUAAGAAAUGUGUAAGAGCGUCCUUAAUGUUACCCAGCAAGGCACUGCAGGAUCUAUUUAAGCAAAUCUUAAAGACAGAAUACUCUACCUUGUAAGCACCUUCAGUGUCAGCACCUCCGAGACAAACUUUCCUGUAUGCAGUUUUUCUAAGUGCAAAGUUUUCCUUACAUUGUUUUCACAUUGUAUGUGUAUUUAGAUGUUACCAAACAAAAAAAAAAAAAACCCACAAACAAACAUAAACAGUUUGGGAGUAGAUCUGACAUAAACAAAGUGCGGUUUCCAAGGCAUAUAUUCCAAGGAAGGUUAUCCAGAUCUGUCACUGCAGGCCAAUCAAAUGAGAACCCAAGAACUGAGAGAUUGUUGUAGACAAAGAUUACAGAGUACAGCUCACUAGAUGAAGGAUCUCCUGAAUCAUACUACUUACACAUUUCAAAACAGAAAGAUCACUGCUUUCAUUCUGACUGAAGUUAGAAACACAUGCACAGAAAUAGGCACCUAGAUUAAUGACCUGGUUUUGAAAUGCUAUGAAUUCCCAGCCAUCAAGGGCACCUUUGAAUCUGCAUUUACAAAUUUAGACCACAAGGCAUGAAAAAUGUGCCUUUUGCCUCCCAGUAGCACCUGUCCAAAUAUGCACAUUCCACAGGGAGGCUCCACAAAAAACUUCACCCAACAUGGUUAUGGCAUGUAUGGAUGUAAACUGCUUAAAGUAACAAAUCACAGGAGUCUGGAGGCUUGCAGCUGGGGCAGGUUUUCCCUGCCAGGGGCUCUGCUGGAUCAGCCCUGUCCCUGGAGCACAGUGGAGAUGUUGCACGCUCUAUGAUGUAUUUGCACGGGGCUGCACUAGCAGCCUUGGGUAUCAGUAGCAAGGGUGUUACAGCAGUAGGGAGCUCAGCCAACCUACCCCAGUGUGCUGCUGAGUCAAGGAGUCAAUCUGGUGGGACUCUCUGCUGUCAGGGUUAUCCUGCUAGCAACAUCAUAAAGGUAGGGCAGGGCAGCCAUCCCAAGACACCAGCUUUUCAUCUUGAGGAGGGUGUUUUGAAAUCCCCAGCCUACGCUGGAUUUUCCUGUGGUUAUUGACCUUAAUCUGACCAUCAGAAUUACUAUCAUGUGAGAAGGCAGCAUGAUGAGAUUUUGGCCUCUUCCCACUGUAACUUUUGAUUGACAGUGGGCUAAGAAAACAUCAUCUACUAAGGAGGCGUGAUAUAAAAUGUCUUGCUUCAGGUAUGAGCUGUGACACAAGUGCUCCAGUGCAGAGGGAGCAAUGGAAAGACUCAUCUAUAUUCCAAUAGAUUAUAAAGCAGAAUGAGCAGCAGAUCUGUUCUGGCUUGUUUAAUACAAACUGUAAAAUUCAAUUCCUCUGGUCUUUGGAUUAAUUCAGCGACUUACAUUUGGUGAAGUCCUAUGUUUCAUGAAGACUUAGACUGAAGAUAGCAAGAGACAGUGGAUAAAGCACUUCACAGGGUUUGUUCCAGCUGUUAAUCAGCCUCACCGCUAAAAGGUAUAUCAUACUGAGCGUGUCCAAAUUCAACUUUCAGGCACUAGCUCAUGUCAUACUUCUGUGUUUCGUUCAGUAUCCCUUUGGUACUUCCUAUUUUCUUCCAUUUAAGGCACUCUUUUUUUACCUGCUGGUUUAUAGAGAUACCACUUCAUCUUUCUUUUUUUUUUUUUAACUGGCUGAACAGAUGACCCUCUCUCUCACUGUAACACACUUUUUCUAGCUUGAAAGUAAGCACUAAGGCUGUUCACUGCACUUGCAAGUGUAUCUUGACUUUUCUGAAAGGGGAUACUAGCAUCCAGCCAAACAACAAUUCGUCUUUCUGGCUGUAGGAGUUGGAGCGCUCACUGAGUCCUUCGGAGCCUCCUGGCAUGAAGGUUAGCUCUGCAUAAAUCAGGCCGUACUUCUUGUAUCAAGUUCUUCCUGAACUUCCUGUGUUGUAUUGUUUCAGUUGAAAGUACAAAGCAUUACCAGAUUAAUAAAAAAAGUACAUAUAACAACAACAUUCCUUCAUGUGCACAAGAGCGUUAUUUCCAGCCAUACAUCUUUUAACAAAUGUAGAGUAUUUUAAGGAGGAUCUAUUUAAAUUCUAUCUGCAGUGAUACAACUAAUUUUGUUCCUUAGAACCAGGCUGUCUGAUGUGUGGAAGUGCAAAGGAGCUUCACAAAUCUGUCUAAAUGGGAGUAAAUACAUAGAGUCAAUACUUCUUUCUUUUUCUUUGUGUUAUGCUUCUAGGCCAAGAAGUGAUGUGUUUCAUCAGGAUGCUCUAAAGCUCACCCCUAAUGGUCUGAUGGCUUGCUUAUAGAGAAAAUGCUAAGACAUCCUUAAUGAAAGCAGUGCUGGUUGUUUUCAGUAAAUUACAGAUAGCUCGCAAUGGCUCUGAAGACUGUGUAUGUAUAUGAUAACUCUUCUUUUGUUAAAGAUUAUAGAGUGCUCUAUUACUUAUUGAAACACUGUAGGAGCAUUACUGCAGGUCACGGGGCGGUUAUCAUUAGGGUUAGGUAAAAAUCCCUGCUAUCGGUAGCUUUGCUCAAUGGCCAGUGUUGGGGGUUCCAUCUCAGAGCAAGCUGCAGCACAUACACUUCAAGAGGAGAGAAAAUGUGCAGGGCUAUGAAAUGUGCUUUCAGAAAUAUUUACAAGAUCUUCCAAAGUCCUAGUUACUUGCGUUUGUCCCAGGAAAGCAGAUAGACCAGUGUCACAGCCCUCAGCCUUUCAGCAAGGGAUACGCACAGCAAACAUAUACAUGAGUAAUUAGAAAGGGGAAGAGACACAGCUAUAUGUACCAGAGACAUUGUGCUGUGGCAGAUCUCCAUUCCUUGGUGUUUUCAUGGCUGUGCCCCAAUCUACCCUGCUUUGGCACCCAUCUUAUUCCUGUGCUGAAGUACCUAAUGACACUGCAUUCCUGAGCAAAUGCCUGCGCUGUUCCUUUGACAGGGCAGAAGGAAAUUCACCUACCACAGAGGGAGAUCCUGUCUGGCAAAAUUUGAAUAUCCAAGUCAGGCAGACAAGUUCCCUUGUGGGAAUAUUCCUCUCCUCUGACAUGCCCAACCGGUGAGUUUGCCUGUGUUUUUGAAACUGCCAUACCUCAAAGAGCAGAGUGUAAACCUGCCACAUGAGAAGGUUCGGUAUCCACUGAGUUUUUCUAGAGCUGGGGAAGGAGUCAGAUCAUGAUCUCAGUCUGACUUUCUCUUUGACAGAGCUUCUCAAAAUCAUGAGCAAGCCUAAUAGCUGCCUAUGAAAAUUAUGGUAUGAAAGUUAAUCAUAAUGUGCAUCACCUCUUUUCAUCCAGCUAUCAAAACUGGGAGUGAACUUAGAAACUCCCUUUUUACAGAGGAGGAAGCAGAUGCAGAAUGAAUCAAUGAAGCAGAAAGAGGAGACAUGCUUCUUACACCUCCUCCCUGCCCCCUCACCCACUAUACCUCCCAUAGGUACCUGUCAUGCAGCUCUUGGCUGUCAUUUGUGAGAGGUGUUAGCAAACACAGCUGUUCUUAGCUGGCCCUGGGUGGAGCCCAUGAAUGCCACCCUAGGCUGAAUACCUGUCAAGUACCCUAGAUAGAUCCAAGGACCUAGGCUGGUCCAAAUGGCUCCUGUGCCUCAGGGACUGUGGAGAGGCUGGAGUGGAGGUGCAAGUGCCUUCCUUUCCCAUGCGUUGUGGCAGCAGCAGCAGCCUCAGCAUGCCACCUGCCUCUCUGUCAUCAGAUUCUCCCAAAAAGGACUGUGCAUGAGGACCUCCCCACUCACAAUCUGUUCUUAAGGUGUACUACUUGCAGGUGAAGAGUUUUGUUACAGAGGGAGGUCAAUGAGAGUGUGUUUGAAUCUCAGAAGCAGAGGCUCUGCUUGUACCCUUCUCAGAUCAACCAUUUGAAGGCAGGACUCCACCACUCUGUUGUAACUAGCUCAGUGAAAGUUGUGUUACAAUCAAAUUAAAAAGGCACCAAGCAGAGAUGAAAUCCUAGAAGUUUCGGCUUUGCCUGAGGGAUGAGUACCUAACAAUGUCUGGAAGAAGAGUUAGGAGCAAAGUCCAAAACACCAGUGUACCCAUAAGAAUAGAUUGCAGGACUCGGAGUUUUGAGUGUUACUCAGAUUAUAUACUCAGAUAGGUCAGCAGUGCUGGCAACUUGCUUUCUACAUAGUGGCAGUGGGUAUCAGCUUAAACUCGUUUUACUGCUCCUUAAGAAAAAAAUGUAUUUUCUUAAAGAGCUUUAAAGAAAAACAACACAAACUCAAUACAAUUGACCUGUCCUUCAGACAGGAAGAAAGCAGCCAGUUAUUUUAACAAAAAUAGUCAUUUAGCAAUACAUAAUAGUAUCCUGGCUCUAGUUACCAGAGAAGCAAAACCUUAGUUAUAUAGAUGAGAAUUGGAAGAAGUCAUUAGCAGAAGAGAGGCGAUUUUAACAGUUCUGUAUUUGAUUCCCGUGGAGAAUUUCAUAUUUCAGUCACAUCUCCUAACAAAAAAAUUUUGGCAGUCCUAUGAAAAAUAGUGUAUAUAGAUAGACUCAUUGGCUUGCUUUCACCCAAGCUUGUUUUGAUGCAAGGAGAUAAACACAUUAGUUGGUUUAUGAUGGGUUUUAAUUCAUAUUUUUAGCUGGCACAAGUCAGUGCACCUUCAGUGGUUCAGGCCUGAAUUACAUUGUACCAAAGUCACGGCAACACAUUGCAGUGGAGCUAAACUGAUUUAUGCUUGCUGAAAAUCUGGUGAUUUUUUUUUAAGCCUCUUUUGUAAUGAUAUAAAUACAGUGCAAAGUUGGUGUGAAAUGAUGGACACUUAAGAAUUUUAAUAUUUGGCCACAAUGCAUAUGUAUGUAGCUGUGUAACUAAAAACGUAUGAAUGCACAUUAUACUCUCCAGUGUUUGUCACAGGUUUAAUGUAAGGGAAUACAACUGAGUGACCCGAGUCUUCUCACUCCCUAUGAGUGCCACUUCUGCUGCCACUGCAUCUGUACGUAAAGGAGGUCCUUACACAAUACUUGUGUUCCUUCUGUAUUGUUGUGGGAUUGUAGCCAGAUGUAGAUAUGACCACCAACUCCAUCAGCCCAGGCUUCCCUCUGUUGUGACCACAAUAGCAGCCCUUGUCAGAGCCUCUUGGGGUACCAGACCCCUGAAGUAUCAAAUACCCCAUUCCCAAGCCUUCUUCCAUGUAGAAGUGACUGGAGCUGCAAAAGGCAGUUUGUGAGCAUAUUUUUCUCUUUGCUCUUCUCUUGUGGUUAAGUGAUGAAAUCUGCCUUGUAGAGCAUCAGUCACGGGAACAGUUUCCCUAUAAGAGUACCUGUGGCACAGUAGUUCUGCCAGCAGCAUGAAUUAGCUGUUUUUCAAGACAUACAAAGAAUUAGUUGUCACAGGUGUGAUGUUUUAUGUCUUGUUAAUCAUCUUCACCAGCACAAUGUUUACUUUCUUCUGUUUGCUCUGACUUCAGACAAAAGGUGGCUUGCUAUGGCAUGCAGACGCAGUAUCCUAGGAGAGAAUGAUAUAAAUGUCUACGUGGAUUCAUGUAAAUAAUACUCUCCACUGCCAGUGGUACUGGGAGAUGGUAACAUUCCCAUGGAUGCAGCCCCAAAUGGAAAUAAAACAAUGGAAGAAACUUCUAUGGCAUUUUCAAUACAUUUCAGACAUUCUCUGCUACCAACAAGAGGGAGCUGUAAAGCUCAGGAAGAGCAGUUUAAGUAAUGCAAAUCUGAUAUGUACAGUUUAGUGCUUUACAUGAUUUUCAGUCCUGAAUGGCUUUAAAAUAGCUUUUCCCUUGCGAGAUGAAAUUUCCAGUUGACAAACAGCUUGACUUGGAGCCCAUUUGUGUGCUAAGAAAUACUGUGUAUCAGCUGUUUCUGAGAAAAAAGCUCACCAUAGUGAAACUUAUCUUUUAGAAUAACCAUGCAAAAUAUCGCUGAUGGGCAAACGCUUGGUGAUUCAUUUUUAUCAUGAUUCCUUUGUUCCUUCUAAUUUUAGGCUGAACUUUCUCUAAAUUGUUGACACAAUGUUAUCUCAAGACCUCUCAGCCAGAUAAGACCACGCCAGUUUCCUCAAAAAUGGUCUUCUGUCUAUGGAUUUUGUAGAUAUUUGGGGCAGGGAGGCACUGUGGGAAGCAAAACACUGAGUGUAUUUAAAUUACUUUCUGAACUAGAAUUCUUGAAAGUUCAUGUUAAGGAGUUAACCUGAAAGUUUUUAAGUCACUUGCGUAAUUUUGAGAGAGGCUUCAUACCAGAUUUUUCCAGAGACUUUGAGCAGAUGCUCUGGAAAGCAAAAAGAACCAGCCCCAGAAAAAGGAUAAGGAAAAUUAAUGUUCCAAAAUCUCUAUGACCAUCCACCUUGGCCAGAGAAAAGUCAGAGCACUAAAAAGUACCCUCUACCAACAUGUGGCUAGUCAUCUUGAAUGGAGCAAAAGUCUGUUCUAAGAGAUGUGAUGUCCAGCAGGUCACCAUCUGGCCUAUUGGCUACAAUCCUAACUUUUAAUUUAUACAAAUCCAGAAGCCUGAAAGAGCUGAUAUGUUUUCAGACUCCAGCUAUCUUCAGAGAUUUAUUAUUCUUUUUUUUUUCCCCUCUAUUCUUCUAUGCUGUGAAAUGCCGAGGUCGCUUUAUGUUCCUUAAUCUUUUGUGUGAAAGCAGGCAUAUCGAAUGCAUGCAUAUGAGCACAUGUAUUGUCAAUCUAGAGAAGACUUUACUGUCCAGAUAUUAUUUUAUAAAAUUGGGUUUUGGAGUGUGUUGUAUAUUUGAAAGUAUGAAAAGUAUCAAUUAUCUGUAACUCUAGGUAAGUAAAGUUUUCCAACUCCUUAUCAAA